GAAUGGAAGUGAGGAUGAGAGGAAAGAGUAACAAAAGUGAAAACAAUUUCAAAUAGAUUUCAGUUUUUUGUUUUUGUUUUCGCUUUUGUUACUUUUCCCUUCCAUCCUUCCCUCUCUUCUUU
rnacentral:miRNA from 1 species